GGGGCUGCACUGGUUUCGACGUGGGUGCAGACUCGCAGCAGGGCAUGUCGAGGUGCUGUGACCUCGUAAAACAGCAGCAAACAAGUAACUGCGAACGACGAACGUUUCGCCCUCGCCGCCUGAUCGCGGCGAGCCUUGCACCGGUCGGCCGAUAGGCCGGGCCGUGCGGACCGCAAGGUCUGCCGGCAGCAAGGGCACUCUCAUCGGCUGGCUUCACGGCGGGCAACUUGCCGUGAAGUGAGAUCCAAGGUUGCUGGCCCCAGGCGCAGCGUGCCGCUGCGCGACGCCGGGGGCGAGACCCAAAACAGACGGCUACACAUGUAGAACUGCGCGAGGAAGGCUUGCGGACGGCGGUUCGACUCCGCCCAGCUCCACCA
rnacentral:tmRNA from 2 species